AGAACGAACGCUGGCGGCACGCCUAACACAUGCAAGUCGAGCGAGACCUUCGGGUUUAGCGGCGGACGGGUUAGUAACGCGUGGGAACGUACCUUUUGCUUCGGAAUAGCCUCGGGAAACUGGGAGUAAUACCGAAUGUGCCCUUAGGGGGAAAGAUUUAUCGGCAAAAGAUCGGCCCGCGUCUGAUUAGAUAGUUGGUGGGGUAAUGGCCUACCAAGUCCGCGAUCAGUAGCUGGUUUGAGAGGAUGAUCAGCAACACUGGGACUGAGACACGGCCCAGACUCC
rnacentral:rRNA from 1 species